AACGAACGCUGGCGGCAGGCCUAACACAUGCAAGUCGAACGCCCUAGCAAUAGGGAGUGGCAGACGGGUGAGUAACGCGUGGGGACGUACCCUUCGGUUCGGAAUAAGCCGGGGAAACCUGGUCUAAUACCGGAUACGUGCGAGAGCAGAAAGAUUUAUCGCCGAAGGAUCGGCCCGCGUCCGAUUAGCUAGUUGGUGAGGUAAUGGCUCACCAAGGCGACGAUCGGUAGCUGGUCUGAGAGGAUGAUCAGCCACACUGGGACUGAGACACGGCCCAGACUCCUACGGGAGGCAGCAGUGGGGAAUAUUGGACAAUGGGCGCGAGCCUGAUCCAGCCAUGCCGCGUGAGUGAUGAAGGCCCUAGGGUUGUAAAGCUCUUUCGCCAGGGACGAUAAUGACGGUACCUGGAUAAGAAGCCCCGGCUAACUCCGUGCCAGCAGCCGCCGUAA
rnacentral:rRNA from 1 species